rnacentral:rRNA from 1 species
UAAGAGGUCCUGCCUGCCCAGUGACCAUGUGUUAAACGGCCGCGGUAUCCUAACCGUGCAAAGGUAGCGUAAUCACUUGUCUUUUAAAUGGAGACCCGUAUGAAUGGCAAAACGAGGGCCUAACUGUCUCCUUUUUCCAGUCAAUGAAAUUGAUUUCCCCGUGCAGAAGCGGGGAUACAACCAUAAGACGAGAAGACCCUGUGGAGCUUCAGACACCAGAGCAGGCCGAGUCAAUAAAACUCCAUUAAAAGAACUAAACUUAUCGACCCCCUUCUCCCCGUCUUAGGUUGGGGCGACCACGGGGAAACAAAAAACCCCCAUGUGGAAAGAGAACACCCUUAUGUUCCCACAAAUAAGAACCGCAGCUCUAAUUAACAGAAACUUCUGACCAAUUAAGAUCCGGCAACGCCGAUUAACGAACCAAGUUACCCCAGGGAUAACAGCGCAAUCCCCUCCAAGAGCCCAUAUCGACAAGGGGGUUUACGACCUCGAUGUUGGAUCGGGACAUCCUAAUGGUGCAGAAGCUAUUAAGGGUUCGUUUGUUCAACG